AUGCAUGGGGGCGUGCAUGCACUAAUGAAGGCAGUGAGAUGCCUGUGGUUCACCGUAGAAUGCUUCAAAACAUGCGAGUCACUGCUGCACCAGCCGAGAAUCGAACUCGGGUCUGGUCCGUGGCAAGGACCUAUGCUACCACUAUACCACUGGUGCUCUGUAAGACACGGAAACUGCUCGAGUGAACACCACUGCACACAACUAUAUCAAGAGUUACACACAUGCAGACAUACAAUGUGCACAGAAUCACGUGUUCUAUAUACCUAGGUAUAUGGGUAUGCCUCUCUGGUGCCCGUAAUAGGUUUGUCUGAGGGAGCACCAGUGGUGUCAUGGUUGCAUAUAUGGGUCCUUUGCCGCAGACUAGACUCGAGUUUAUCCUCGACUGGUGCACAAAAACAUGCAUGUUUUGUAGCAUUGUACGGUGGGCCGCUGGCUUCUCAGCAUUGCCUUGAUUAUUGGAUGUGCUCUAUCCACCUAGUUUGUUGUUCCAUAUGCCUGAAGCACAUGUGUGUUGGUAGCAGGUCCAGGUGCAUGUCCGAGGUAAUGUGUGCUUUGCCACAUGCCAAUAACACCCAGGCAGGAAGGGAUGAAUGCUCUGGCAUAUUGAACUGUAAAGUGCUCUGUCCUGCACCAUAAUAGACGCAAAGACAUAAGUACACAGCAGGGAGAUGGGUGAAUGAGUGAAGAUUGCCAACCUGUAUUAGGGCAUGGUUAGCACCCAUAAAUAUUGAGAAUAAGAUCCUUGCCCCAACAACCGCCCAGCCAUGCCUAAAUACCUGUGUGCCCAGCAAAACAUGCCCAUGGCCCCAUGCAUGCCUAGGUGAUGUACACGUGAUUGUGGGAUGGGCUGUGCCCACUCACUCCUCACAUGCCUGCAGCCAGAAUGAGGUGUGNNNNNNNNNNNNNNNNNNNNNNNNNNNNNNNNNNNNNNNNNNNNNNNNNNGCGGCCACCAUCAGAAUCCAAUAGAAUCUGCCAGAUCAACCACAAGCAUCAAGUCUACUCCUUACCGGCUCCACAGAUCACUCACUAUAACCAGAUGCAGCUGCUGUGGGUGGGAGGCCCGAAGCUGGUGGUCUACUGGCCAUGGGGAGCAUGCCUGUGAGGAGGGAGUCACAGCAGUGUGAAGGAGUGUGAAGUCCGUGUGAAGUCGGUGUCCCCACAAAACCCUAAAACCCUAAUUGCAUGUAGUACAUAAGAGUGCCACAGCCGGUUUGCACAGUCUCAGGACCCUCGCCCGCUUACCAGCAUAUGCAAGCAACACUUGAUGGCACUGAAUGCGUGCCUAGGCAUGAAGGACCACUAAGGCAUGGAAAUCCUUGUACAUUCUUUCUUCCCUAAAAUAGUGAAUCCCUGUCGACUACCUAUACGUGCCAACCUCGUACAUAUAAUGUAGUACAUACAAGGUUAACAUAACAUAUAUAUAGAUAGAUGUAUAUAUAUAUAACAUAACAUACUAACAUAAAUAACAGUACUCAUGGGUAUGGGUAGGUGGGCAAACAGAGUGGUGGAAGUUGUGUGCAGCACCAAUCCCAAUGGCGUUGUGAGUGUUAAUGUUAACUUACAUCUCGACAUUUUCUGCCCGGUUAGCUCAGUCGGUAGAGCGCAAAGCUCUUAACCUUGUGGUCGUGAGUUCGAGCCCCACAUUGGGCGAGAAUGUCCCGUAUGUGUGUGANAGGGACAUCAGUAGACCAGUGCCCUGCACCUAAUGUAACUAUUAUGCAGGCUUAAACAUUCAUUCAUUCCUGACCCCCUUCUCAUAAUAUGUCCUCGUCAUGGUGCUGAAUUUCUGACUUGUAUUCCUGCUGGAUGGGAUGGGAUAUGAUGGGAUGCCUGAUUCCAGAAUGCCGAAUUAGCCCACAGCUACUUGCAUUAUAAUUAUCAGUCCAUCCAUGCUUUAUCAGUAUGCGAAAACCCAAACUCUAUAACACCCUUUUGCCUGCUCUAUCUCUUGUUUUUAUGGCACCGGAGAGUUUGCCAGCUUUUUCCUAUAGCUAGGCCAACACGAUUAGCAAAAGCCUCAGGUGGGGACCCUGGAUCCAGCUAGCAUGACUGCACCUACCCAUCCAUCCUAACACCCUAUAGCUAAACACCCUAAACACCCUAACACCCUAAAAACACGAGAAGAACAAGUGUAGGUCGGAGUACACAUCAACCAAGCCGGGAUCCGAUCUGCCUGGAUCGAACAGGCGACCUAAGGAUAUCAGCAUCGCAUCUUUCGAUUACAGUCCUUCGCUCUUCCAGCUGAGCUAAGAUCGGGACAUGGUGCUCAACGCGUAUCGAGACCAGGUUUCGAUCCUGGGACCUCGGGGUUAUGAGCCCCGCACGCUUCCGCUGCGCCAUCUCGAUUCUCAUGUGCACACCUACCUUCAACUCUCGCCAGAACUCGUGGAUCGUGGAUGCCCGACAAGCAGCUCCAACCAAACCGAGUAGAGCCUUUGCCCUAAGGAUGAACCUAUGGCAUAAUGUAACAAUAAUAAUGGCCAUGAAUAUCGCCCAACAUGCAAUAAGGGAUGAAAGUGUCGAGGACAGCUAAUUAUCUUCAGAAUUGUGUUAUGUUAUAUAUGUGUAUGCAGCCCCUAUCUAGAGAUGUGUAGAGUUUUUGAAUCCCUANUAUGUAUUGCCUGUCUGUUCUGAAACCGAGANNNNNNNNNNNNNNNNNNNNNNNNNNNNNNNNNNNNNNNNNNNNNNNNNNGAAUGUUCCAUCUUAAGUGUUGGAAUCAAGUGUCUUUCUGGUUGGGCUUGUUACCCAUAUGCAUACCUGUAUCCUGGUAGCCCAUCACAUCAGGAACAAUAGUGACCUGUGCCUGGCUCAAGUUAUUAAAUUGGUUCACGUGUUUCAACUUCCACAAACAACGAAAUGAUGAGCAUGCAUAUGUGCAUUAUAUAAUUAUACAUAGCACAUGAUCCAAACAGUCAUGAUAAGCCUGAUGAGUGGGGGAAGAGCUAUGUGUGUACACUUAGCAUGCGUGUGAAUAGGAUGUCCACAUGAACAAUAACUGUAAUCUUAUUGCACAAGGCCACUUCACGAAUGGGAGCCAGGUACGACAUGCCGCGGAUGCACCAUAGUAGCCCCGUAUGCUUCCUCGACAGCCUACUGAAUAUCAGUAAACCUCGCUCGCCUUUUGAAGGAGAUGUGUGUAUUUACCGAGCGGUCUCCACCACACCUUAAUAAUAAGAUUUGAGUGCAAGACGUCCCCCUCCGCACUCUUCCUGGCUGACGAGGGUGGGAUUUGAACCCACGCCCUUACGGACUAGAAAUGUCUCAUCCUGGUCUGAACCAGGUAGUCCUGAAUCUAGCGCCUUAGACCGCUCGGCCACCUCGUCAUGCUGUGCACGUGCACCCAGCCGAUAACGUUUGUGUACACCAAAACGCAACAGACCUUCAUGCAUCCCUGCCGUGCAAUUUGCUCGACUUUUUUCGAGUGUUACAAAAUGAUGAUCGAUAUGAACAUCAAGCAUGUACAUACAUACAAGUUCUUUAACGGAAGGUAUGUUGGUAACGGUACGUCGCAUGAGCAUAUUAUUUCGCCGACACGGGGAAUCGAACCCCGGCCUCCCGCGAUCCAUGAUUGGAUGAUGUCAUGACAGGCGGGGAUACUGACCACUAUACGAUGUCGACGGAGGCACUCAUUGCAGAGACAGGAUAGCCGCAUCCCGCUCCGCCACUCUUUCGCUACCGGGACUCGAACCCGGGUCUCGAGAGUGAGAAUCUCGUAUCCUAACCGCCUAGACUAUAGCGAAGAAUGUCGCAGCACAAGUUAUCAUACACCAUCAUAAUAACGUCACACACAACACACCGACAUACAUGCGGGUGACAGGCGCAUGCAUGCAUCACGUUCUCCGCAACCCUCCCCAAUGAGCAAUAUAUGGUGAGCAAUUUUAUAUUCGUAACUGCUCCUAUCCGCCUGUACAUUUCCGUCGCAUUUCAGCAAUGCCUUUGCUCACUUUGCANNNNNNNNNNNNNNNNNNNNNNNNNNNNNNNNNNNNNNNNNNNNNNNNNNNNNNNNNNNNNNNNNNNNNNNNACCAUAUGCAUACCUGUAUCCUGGUAGCCCAUCACAUCAGGAACAAUAGUGACCUGUGCCUGGCUCAAGUUAUUAAAUUGGUUCACGUGUUUCAACUUCCACAAACAACGAAAUGAUGAGCAUGCAUAUGUGCAUUAUAUAAUUAUACAUAGCACAUGAUCCAAACAGUCAUGAUAAGCCUGAUGAGUGGGGGAAGAGCUAUGUGUGUACACUUAGCAUGCGUGUGAAUAGGAUGUCCACAUGAACAAUAACUGUAAUCUUAUUGCACAAGGCCACUUCACGAAUGGGAGCCAGGUACGACAUGCCGCGGAUGCACCAUAGUAGCCCCGUAUGCUUCCUCGACAGCCUACUGAAUAUCAGUAAACCUCGCUCGCCUUUUGAAGGAGAUGUGUGUAUUUACCGAGCGGUCUCCACCACACCUUAAUAAUAAGAUUUGAGUGCAAGACGUCCCCCUCCGCACUCUUCCUGGCUGACGAGGGUGGGAUUUGAACCCACGCCCUUACGGACUAGAAAUGUCUCAUCCUGGUCUGAACCAGGUAGUCCUGAAUCUAGCGCCUUAGACCGCUCGGCCACCUCGUCAUGCUGUGCACGUGCACCCAGCCGAUAACGUUUGUGUACACCAAAACGCAACAGACCUUCAUGCAUCCCUGCCGUGCAAUUUGCUCGACUUUUUUCGAGUGUUACAAAAUGAUGAUCGAUAUGAACAUCAAGCAUGUACAUACAUACAAGUUCUUUAACGGAAGGUAUGUUGGUAACGGUACGUCGCAUGAGCAUAUUAUUUCGCCGACACGGGGAAUCGAACCCCGGCCUCCCGCGAUCCAUGAUUGGAUGAUGUCAUGACAGGCGGGGAUACUGACCACUAUACGAUGUCGACGGAGGCACUCAUUGCAGAGACAGGAUAGCCGCAUCCCGCUCCGCCACUCUUUCGCUACCGGGACUCGAACCCGGGUCUCGAGAGUGAGAAUCUCGUAUCCUAACCGCCUAGACUAUAGCGAAGAAUGUCGCAGCACAAGUUAUCAUACACCAUCAUAAUAACGUCACACACAACACACCGACAUACAUGCGGGUGACAGGCGCAUGNNNNNNNNNNNNNNNNNNNNNNNNNNNNNNNNNNNNNNNNNNNNNNNNNNNNNNNNNNNNNNNNNNNNNNNNNNNNNNNNNNNNNNNNNNNNNNNNNNNNNNNNNNNNNNNNNNNNNNNNNNNNGCUGCUGGCACACCAGCACUUACAGUAAGUGGUUGCUUGUUGAUGUGGUGGUUAUGAUUAUGUGCUGUGUCUGGUUGAGAUCAUGCUUUCCUGUCAGUUGCUUUCCUGUCCAUGCAUGUUUGAACCAUUGCUGUAUGAGUGUCAACAAACAAGGGGCUCAAUGCUGCUGUCCUCGGUCUUGUGCCUUGCUCAAACUAUGCAGAAGUACAGGUGUAGGCUGUAAUAAGUUGUUUAACCUGACUGCCCUGAUUGAAUGUGUUUCCCAGAUAGAAUGCCGAUCCUGCAUGCAUGUGCCAGCGCCAAACAUGGCCACCACCACCAAAAAGCGCCUCACACCCCUAGCUAGUAAGUCUGUGCUAUUAGAAGCUUUGGGUGGUGACACCUGCUACGCUAUGGUGGGACCACAGUAUUGCAUGUUUGUGGUUUGGCGUGUGUGACUAUUCAUGAGUACGCCAGGAUGGGAUCCCAUCCUGGAUCCCAUCCAUCCGGUAGGUACUAACUAGCUAUAGCACCCCUAGUCCAUGCUUUGAAUGCAGGCUAUAGCCACCAUGUUACUUCCAUGACCACAUAAGCAUGAGGCGUAUUUUGCUGAAUGUUCCAUCUUAAGUGUUGGAAUCAAAUGUCUUUCUGGUUGGGCUUGUUACCCAUAUGCAUACCUGUAUCCUGGUAGCCCAUCACAUCAGGAACAAUAGUGACCUGUGCCUGGCUCAAGUUAUUAAAUUGGUUCACGUGUUUCAACUUCCACAAACAACGAAAUGAUGAGCAUGCAUAUGUGCAUUAUAUAAUUAUACAUAGCACAUGAUCCAAACAGUCAUGAUAAGCCUGAUGAGUGGGGGAAGAGCUAUNGUGUGUACACUUAGCAUGCGUGUGAAUAGGAUGUCCACAUGAACAAUAACUGUAAUCUUAUGCGGGGAUCCUCANNNNNNNNNNNNNNNNNNNNNNNNNNNNNNNNNNNNNNNNNNNNNNNNNNGACAAUGUGCACAGAAUCACGUGUUCUAUAUACCUAGGUAUAUGGGUAUGCCUCUCUGGUGCCCGUAAUAGGUUUGUCUGAGGGAGCACCAGUGGUGUCAUGGUUGCAUAUAUGGGUCCUUUGCCGCAGACUAGACUCGAGUUUAUCCUCGACUGGUGCACAAAAACAUGCAUGUUUUGUAGCAUUGUACGGUGGGCCGCUGGCUUCUCAGCAUUGCCUUGAUUAUUGGAUGUGCUCUAUCCACCUAGUUUGUUGUUCCAUAUGCCUGAAGCACAUGUGUGUUGGUAGCAGGUCCAGGUGCAUGUCCGAGGUAAUGUGUGCUUUGCCACAUGCCAAUAACACCCAGGCAGGAAGGGAUGAAUGCUCUGGCAUAUUGAACUGUAAAGUGCUCUGUCCUGCACCAUAAUAGACGCAAAGACAUAAGUACACAGCAGGGAGAUGGGUGAAUGAGUGAAGAUUGCCAACCUGUAUUAGGGCAUGGUUAGCACCCAUAAAUAUUGAGAAUAAGAUCCUUGCCCCAACAACCGCCCAGCCAUGCCUAAAUACCUGUGUGCCCAGCAAAACAUGCCCAUGGCCCCAUGCAUGCCUAGGUGAUGUACACGUGAUUGUGGGAUGGGCUGUGCCCACUCACUCCUCACAUGCCUGGCAGCCAGAAUGAGGUGUUGGGUGUUUUUCAUGUGCUAUGGCAGUGGUCGUGUGGCUUAAUAGAUAAUUAUAAGGCAUCGUCCUCCAGUUUUAUGUCCAGGAUGGAGAUUGUGGGUUUCAGUCCCUAACUUCCCCCAUGUUUUGGUGAACCCUCAUCCAUUGCAUCCACGCCAGCUUCUGCAAAGUCAGUGGCUUUGCGGGAUUGGGCGGCCACCAUCAGAAUCCAAUAGAAUCUGCCAGAUCAACCACAAGCAUCAAGUCUACUCCUUACCGGCUCCACAGAUCACUCACUAUAACCAGAUGCAGCUGCUGUGGGUGGGAGGCCCGAAGCUGGUGGUCUACUGGCCAUGGGGAGCAUGCCUGUGAGGAGGGAGUCACAG
rnacentral:lncRNA from 1 species